CCUACGGGUGGCUGCAGUGAGGAAUAUUGGUCAAUGGACGCAAGUCUGAACCAGCGAUGCCGCGUGAAGGAAGACGGCUCUAUGAGUUGUAAACUGCUUUUGUACGGGUGUAAACUCAGAUACGCGUAUCUGUCUGAAAGUAUCGUACGAAUAAGCAUCGGCUAACUGCGUGCCAGCAGCCGCGGUAAUACGGAGGAUGCAAGCGUUAUCCGGAUUUAUUGGGUUUAAAGGGUGCGUAGGCGGUCUGAUAAGUUAGCUGUGAAAGCCCGAGGCUCAACGUCGGAAUUGCCUAUGAUACUGUUCGGCUAGAGAGUAGUUGAGGUAGGCGGAAUGUAUGGUGUAGCGGUGAAAUGCGUAGAGAUCAUACAGAACACCGAUGGCGAAGGCAGCUUACCAAGCUAUAUCUGACGUUGAGGCACGAAAGCGUGGGGAGCAAACAGGAUUAGAUACCCGAGUAGUC
rnacentral:rRNA from 1 species